rnacentral:rRNA from 1 species
CUGGCUCAGAACGAACGCUGGCGGCGCGUUUAAGCAUGCAAGUCGAGCGGCAAGGGCCUUCGGGCCCCUAGAGCGGCGGACGGGUGAGUAACACGUGGACAAUCUGCCCCCCGGCCCGGGAUAGCCCAGGGAAACCUGGAUUAAUACCGGAUGAGACGGGACCCGCGAUGGCGGGAUCCGGGAAAGGCGCUGCGGCGCCGCCGGGGGAUGAGUCUGCGUCCCAUUAGCUAGACGGCGGGGUAACGGCCCACCGUGGCGACGAUGAGUAGCCGGCCUGAGAGGGUGGACGGCCACAUUGGAACUGAGACACGGUCCAGACUCCUACGGGAGGCAGCAGCUAAGAAUCUUCCGCAAUGGGCGAAAGCCUGACGGAGCGACGCCCGCGUGAACGAAGAAGGCCGUGAGGUUGUAAAGUUCUUUUCGGGAGGGGGAACAACCGUGGCAGGGAAUGGCCGCGGGAUGACGUGAAUCCCGGAAUAAGCCCCGGCUAACUACGUGCCAGCAGCCGC